GCUCCGGUGGCCUAGGGGUUAGAGCGUCCGCCUCGGGUGCGGAAGGUUGUAGGUUCGAUUCUCGGUCGAGUCA